rnacentral:rRNA from 1 species
UACCAGCACCCCGAGUGGUCGGGACGUUUAUUGGGCCUAAAGCAUCCGUAGCCGGUUCUACAGGUCUUCCGUUAAAUCCACCUGCUUAACAGAUGGGCUGCGGAAGAUACUAUAGAGCUAGGAGGCGGGAGAGGCAAGCGGUACUCGAUGGGUAGGGGUAAAAUCCGUUGAUCCAUUGAAGACCACCAGUGGCGAAGGCGGCUUGCCAGAACGCGCUCGACGGUGAGGGAUGAAAGCUGGGGGAGCAAACCGG